UACAGAGGAUGCAAGCGUUAUCCGGAAUGAUUGGGCGUAAAGCGUCUGUAGGUGGCUUUUUAAGUCCGCCGUCAAAUCCCAGGGCUCAACUCUGGACAGGCGGUGGAAACUACCAAGCUGGAGUACGGUAGGGGCAGAGGGAAUUUCCGGUGGAGCGGUGAAAUGCGUAGAUAUCGGAAGGAACACCAGUGGCGAAGGCGGCUUUCUGGAUCCAAACUGACGCUGAGGAGCGAGAGCGUGGGUAGCAAACAGG
rnacentral:rRNA from 1 species